AAAGGAGGAAAAUCAUGUGAGGAGGAAGGCUGGAAAACAGCUCUAGGUUUCUCCUAUCUCUUUCCCCGUAUCUUGGAGAGGACCUUGGAGUGGCACAUGAAUGAUAUGUAUUUUCAGGGCUGUUGUGUUGAGGGAGCAAAAAUAGUUAACAGGGCAAACACAAGCUUUAUAGCGUACGUCCCAAGGUUGUUUGUUUGCAAGGUGAGAAGGUCUCUGCUUUUAAACACUGCAUUCAGUAUCCCUCCUCCCUGGUUCCCAGCUGUAAACUGCAUUGUUGGUGUUAAUGAUAAUGUGAGCGGCUCUUUCUGCUCUCACACACACUCUUGCCCAAACUCUGAGUGACUCCAAGCCAAGAGGUGUGUUUUCAGAUGCUAACUCAUGCAGGGCUUUCUCUUGCCACCAGCAGGCAGAGCUGGGAGGGUUGAGCACUCACCAGGAUUAAAGAGAAUGGCUCCCUUCAGGAGGAUCUUCUUGAGCAUGCUGGGGGCUGGGGUCUCCAUCACCUCAAACGUCACCGUCUCCUGGACCAGCCCCAGGAGGAAGAGAGGAACCCAGCAGCUGUCCAGCAGCAGGAGCUGGUCCCCUCGCGGCAGCAGGUGGAAGGAAGGGAGGUUUUUCAUGAAGCUGAUGGUUUUCACCAGCACGUCGGAGGCAGCCUGGCAGUCCAUGUCCAUGCUACUGGUCAUCUGAGUAGAACCGGGAGUCCUCUGUGAAACUCCGCAGAUGGGAGAGACCUGUAAGCUUCGUCCCCGUCUCAGCCUGGGAGCGACCUGUCCUCCCUGCUCUGCCAGCACAUGGCUGUUCAAACAAGCUCUUAUAAGGCUCGGUCACAAGUGGAACACCCCUUCCCAGCCUUGACCGCUCUGUGAUUAAGCGGUCCUCAUUAAAAAAAAAAAAAAAA